rnacentral:rRNA from 1 species
UACGUAGGGUGCGAGCGUUAAUCGGAAUUACUGGGCGUAAAGCGUGCGCAGGCGGUUUUGUAAGUCUGACGUGAAAUCCCCGGGCUUAACCUGGGAAUUGCGUUGGAGACUGCAAGGCUGGAGUCUGGCAGAGGGGGGUGGAAUUCCACGUGUAGCAGUGAAAUGCGUAGAGAUGUGGAGGAACACCGAUGGCGAAGGCAGCCCCCUGGGUUAACACUGACGCUCAGGCACGAAAGCGUGGGGAGCAAACAGG